GUGGAUAUAGUUUAAUCGGUAGAUCGACUAUUUAUGGCGUAGUGUGUUCCCUGUUCGAAUCAGGGUAUUCACC